rnacentral:rRNA from 1 species
CCUAACACAUGCAAGUCGUACGAGAGUUUUUAACUCAAGUGGCGGACGGGUGAGUAACACGUGAGAAUUUGCCUUUAGGAGGGGGAUAACAGAGUGAAAACGCUGCUAAUACCCCAUAUGCUUUCGAGUGAAAUGGAUUUAUUCGCCUAAAGAGAAGCUCGCGGCUGAUUAGCUUGUUGGUAAGGUAAUGGCUUACCAAGGCGACGAUCAGUAUCUGGUUUGAGAGGACGAUCAGACACACUGGAACUGAGACACGGUCCAGACUCCUACGGGAGGCAGCAGUGGGGAAUUUUCCGCAAUGGGCGAAAGCCUGACGGAGCAAUACCGCGUGAGGGAAGACGGCCUAUGGGUUGUAAACCUCUUUUCUCAGGGAGGAACUCAAUGACGUUACCUGAGGAAUAAGCAUCGGCUAACUCCGUGCCAGCAGCCGCGGUAAGACGGAGGAUGCAAGUGUUAUCCGGAAUCACUGGGCGUAAAGCGUCUGUAGGUGGCUUAACAAGUCAACUGUUAAAUCUUGAAGCUCAACUUCGAAAUCGCAGUCGAAACUGUUAGGCUAGAGUAUAGUAGGGGUAAAGGGAAUUUCCAGUGGAGCGGUGAAAUGCGUAGAGAUUGGAAAGAACACCGAUGGCGAAGGCACUUUACUGGGCUAUUACUGACACUCAGAGACGAAAGCUAGGGUAGCAAAUGGGAUUAGAUACCCCAGUAGUCCUAGCCGUAAACAAUGGAUACUAGAUGUUGGGCAGAUCGACCUGUUCAGUAUUAAAGCUAACGCGUUAAGUAUCCCGCCUGGGAAGUAUGCGCGCAAGCGUGAAACUCAAAGGAAUUGACGGGGGGCCGCACAAGCGGUGGAGCAUGUGGUUUAUUUCGAUGC